rnacentral:sRNA from 1 species
UGGAGCAUCUGAUUGGGUUGACGUGUCCUCUGUUGUGCUUGUUCCUCCCACCGUUCCUUCGCUUGAAAG